rnacentral:rRNA from 2 species
AAAUUGAAGAGUUUGAUCAUGGCUCAGAUUGAACGCUGGCGGCAGGCCUAACACAUGCAAGUCGAACGGUAACAGGAAGCAGCUUGCUGCUUCGCUGACGAGUGGCGGACGGGUGAGUAAUGUCUGGGAAACUGCCUGAUGGAGGGGGAUAACUACUGGAAACGGUGGCUAAUACCGCAUAACGUCGCAAGACCAAAGAGGGGGGCCUU